GAGAGCAGAAACGUGAAACAAAGCAGGAGAGGCAAAAACGGAGAGAGAGAGAAGAGAGAGAGAGGGAGGGAGACGCAGCAGUAUCGGCAAGCACCGUCCUCCGUUCUUCAUUGUCCUCCACAAUCAUCGGCCAUUGUUGUCUGCCGGAACAAAACGAAGAGAGAAGAAGAAAUCUUUUGAGAAGAAAGUCUGUCCUCAGCCAUUGUUGUCCGCCGGAGCUCCCUCACGCCAUAGAUUGAACCAGGCAAAGCAGAUUCAAGGUCCGAUUUUGGAGUGCAUUCUUGAAUUUCAGGUUGAUGUUGUCACAACAUGUAGUGUUGCAGAUGAGCAAAACUACUCACUGGUACGAAUGAUCACUAUGGAGGUGUUAUCGUGGAGAUAACAACUGAGCCCAAGGACGCUGCUGUGUUUGUUUUUCUGCUCAGAACUUUGGUUUCACAUUGGAAGCAACAGGUAGCAUUUACAUUUUUGUUUGAAUUCAACUCCAAUUUCUUUGUUUUAAUGGCAUUCCUAUCGAAAAUGUAAGUGAAAGUAUUCCUUU